AUUGAACGCUAGCGGGAUGCUUUACACAUGCAAGUCGAACGAGUGGCGGACGGGUGAGUAAUAUAUCGGAACGUGCCCAGUAGCGGGGGAUAACUACUCGAAAGAGUGGCUAAUACCGCAUACUAUCGGAGCGGCCGAUAUGGGAUUAGCUAGUUGGUGGGGUAAAGGCUCACCAAGGCGACGAUCCUUAGCUGGUUUGAGAGGAUGAACAGCCACACUGGUACUUAGACACGGUCCAGACUCCUACGUGAGGCAGCAGUGGGGAAUUUUGGACAAUGGGGGAAAGCCUGAUCCAGCCAUCCCGCGUGUAUGAGAAGGCCUUCGGGUUGUAAAGUACUUUUGGCAGAGAGGCGGUAUCUGCAGAAUAAGCACCGGCUAACUACGUGCCAGCCGCCGCGGUAAUAC
rnacentral:rRNA from 1 species